UUGUAUAUUUUUUACUCUUGUGUGAUUUUUUCUUAGAAAUGAAUACCAGCACUUAUUGAUUUUAAAUUAUUUUAUUAAAAAAAACUACUUUAAUAAAGGUAGUUGAAGUUUUAUACUAUGAUCAUUUAUUAAGUUUUUAUGAAUCUUAUACCAGGUCCUGUCAGUAUAUUCACUAAGUAUAUUCACCAAUCGAGCUCUAAUAGGGUAUGUUGGCAGGUUAAAUCCAUGUUUUUUGUUGUUGUUUUUAUCUCGUUAUGUGUUUUGCAUUAUUUAUUAACCCUUUCAGUGCGGGAACCGAAUUUUAAAGGCCUUUGCAAACAGUUUGUAUCGAGAUGAGACGCCACAGAACGUGACGUCUCAUCAGGAUCCAAACUGUUUGCUAUUCGGAUAGUAUUCUUUGAAAAAAAAUCGAAGAAAAUGCUAAUUUUAGAAAUUCAGCAGACGACAUUUUUGCAGACGACACAUUUCCCAGCAUGCAAAGGGUUAAGGUAUGGUGUAUUGAUACUACAACAUCAUCAUUUAAUUAAUCUUCUGUUAAUUGGACUUGUUAAAAGAUUUUAUAAUAUGAAGAAAUAUUAUAAAAAUGUAUAUAAAAACAAAAAUCUUAUAUUUUCAAUAGUCUUAAAUAUUUAUAACAGCAAGAAACAAAGUGGAAUGAAAGAUUUUGCACGACCUGGGAUUUGAAACCCACAAACUAUGAAAUGAAAUCAAAGCACAAUACCUCUACAUCUCUAAGGCUUUUAUAUUUACCAGUUAUAUGUAUUUGUUCAACUAGUGAUGAAAAGCAUUACAAAUGAUUAAUAAUUUUUGAUUGGUGAUUAUUAAUUUAUGAAACAAUAUGCGGAACAUUUUUUUGUUAGAGUUCAUAUGUUUUAACAAAAUGUAUACUUUCUUAUCACAUACCCUGUUUCCCAUGUAAUAUAACAAUUACAUAUUUUGUUAUAUUACACAUGUGUAAUACAACAUUUUUAAGCGUUUUCAUUGGCUUAGUUUUCGUUUAUUGACGCAUUUUGUUAUUUUGCUGAAAUGAUGUUGCAACGUCAAAUGACGUCACGAAAUGUAAACAACAUUCGGGAUUUAUCAUUAUGUUUGCGUAAAUAUUUAGAGUUUGGUAAAUGUUCAGUAUUACUGUUAGCUUGCAAAUAUCAUAACUACAACGAAAAUUUGCAAAUUUGAAAAAAAAAAUUGUCAAUUUAACAUGAAAAGAUUCCAUUAAACGUGACCAAUGCAAUAAUCUUAAUAUCACUAUGGCAAACCAGGGAAGUGAAAGGUUUUUAAAAAGGACAGCCUUUACCCAAUUUCCAUAUUAUUUUGCAAUAAUUUUUAUUUAUUUAUUUUACUUCUUAAUUCCUGUGACUUUUAUUUCAAAACAUCUGGGUGCAAGUUGCGAACGAUCUUUCCUGAUAUUUUUUAACAUAGAAAUUGAGCUAACUCUCAUUCACCCAUUUAUGCCUAAUGGAUUCUUCCAUCCUUCUAAAUUGAAUCAAUUUAUUUUCCAAAUUAGUGAUGUCGAGUAUAUUUAUUUCUAUAUUUAGAAUAUUUGUUACAGAAAUUCCUUUAAGCAAACAGUGCAGACCCUGAUGAGGUGCCGCCUGGGUCUAUGCUGUAAGCCAAGGCCCCUUUUCUAGACGCUAGACAUAAAUAGGUUAAUCAUUGGUAAACAUAUCCUUUUGUUUUGAUGCUGUUACCAAACAUUUGAUUACAUUUAUUUUGAAGAACGAUUGUUAUGGAUAUUUUUCCCACUGCUUUAAUAUUUUGAUAAAAAUUGUGUUUUUUACUUAUAAUUUUAUAUAUCACUUGUUUUGUUUUUUUAAGCAAUGUUCAUUUACCUUCAUUUUAAAACACAUUGCAAAGUGUUUUGUUUGUUGAUUUUCGUUUGUCGUUCUUAAUACACAUGCCUGUGUUUCUAAUUUGCACAGAUUUUCAUCAGGCAAUGAUCCAAACUUUUGGGAAAAAAAAUGCUAUUUUCAGCAAGUUUCUUGUGGGAAUGAAUGUGCCAUUAGUAUACAUGUAAAUAUAUGUAAAUAUACUAUUAUGUUAUACUUGUUGAUGUAGUUAUUUGUUGUUUUCUAAAACAGUUUCAUAAACGUUUUUCAGUUUCAGUGUGUUUUGAUACAUUUAUAGUCCGUAGUAUGUUUUGUAAUGGAUGUAGAGAUUUUAUGAUGUACAAGUAGUUUUAUUUCGACCAAAGCAAUAUUUUCCUAAAAAUGUUUUACACAAAUUUUGUUUGUGAUAUAGUUUUAUAGUUGUUUAGCAAACGUUAAUGCUGUUUGUUUGUAAUGUGCGUACUUUUAAUUCCUCAAAGGCAUGGUCCCACUGUAUGUGUGUAGCUGUUUUGUGUAAGUUGGUGUUUUCGAUAAGAACUACAUCAUGGGAAAAUGGGUCUUAUGCCAUAUGCGGCAUGAGUAGCUCCAGAGAUGACUUUCCAUUUGCUUUGAAGUCAUAGUUUUAAAAUCAACUGAAAUCGUCAAAAUUAGGGAAGUUGCUAUUUAUACAGUCUUUUAUUCAUACAAUGAAAGAAGCAUUUUAUGUUUCUUACUUUGAUUUCCUAUUUUUGUUUUUGUCUGUUACUGUUGGUUUUUUCAAUAAAUGUAUCACUUGGCUGAGAAGUGAGAAGGAGCAUUUGCGAAUCUUCAUGGAAACAUGUCCGAAAAUUAGUAGUUAGACAAUAGCCCAAAAAUCUAUUAAUGAGUAUAACAACUCAGAAUGAAUAAUGGUUGGUUACCUUGUGUAAUUGUUUCUUAAUGUGAUAACUGCUGACGCCUCAUAUGAGCAUCGUCAUGUACACAAUUGUUUCCUAAAUGCAAUUUACUGUCAUUGGUACAAAUUAAAAUGUUAUCGGAACCAGUGUAAAUGAAAUUAACAGUUAUAGAAACUGAUUGAAAUGCCAUUCACUGUUAUUGCAACUAAUUCAAAUUCCAUUCUUUGCUAUUCUAACAACCCAUUUAAAUAUCAUUCAUCAUCAUUAAAACCAAUUUUAAUACCAUCCACCGUCAUUAAAACCAAUUAUCCCAUUUAUGCCUAGCGUCUUGAAAAAAGGCCUUGGCAAACAGCGUAGACCCAGAUGAGACGCCACAUGAUGCAGCGUCUCAUCUGGGACUGCGCUGUUUGCUUAAAGGAAUUUCUUUAAGAAAUAUUAUAAAUAUAGAAAUAAAUAUACUAGACAUCCCUAAUUUUGGAAAUAAAUUGAUCCAAAUUAGAACGAUGGGAGAAACCCAUUAAUGCCUACUGGACUCUCCCAUCCUUCUAAAUUAGAUCAAUUUAUUUCAAAAAUUAGGGAUUUAUAGUAUAUUUAUUAUGCUCCCCACAAUUUUUGUCUGGGAUAUUUCUAAACAAUUAAUGACCGGAAUUCAAUUAAACUUAAUGGGAAGCUUCACUACUAAGAGGUGCAUAUUAUCAGCCGGUUCUGGUCAGAUGAUUUUUCACAGAGUUAUGGCCCUUUGAAAUUUUCCAUUAACUGUACAUAUAGUGCAAUUCUUGUCUUGACUAUUUCUCAGCAACUAAUGACAGGAAUUCAAUGAAACUUUAUGACAAGCUUCACUACCAAGAGGAGAUGUGCAUAUUAUUAGCCAGUUCUCGUCGGAUGAUUUUUUACAGAGUUAUGGCCCUUUGAAAUUUUCCAUUGUUCAUAUAGUGCAAUUCUUGUCCGAGCUAUUGCUCAGCAACUUAUUACGGGAAUUCAAUGAAACUUUAUGGGAAGCUUCACUACCAACAAGAGAUGUGCAUAUAUUAUCAGCCGGUUAUGGUCGGAUGAUUUUUCACAGAGUUAUGGCCCUUUGAAAUUUUCUAUAAACUGUACAUAUAGUGCAAUUCUAGUGUGGGCUAUUUCUCCCCAACUACUGACUGGAAUUCAAUGAAGCUUUAUGGGAAGCUUAACUACCUUGAGGAGAUGCGCAUGUUAUUUGGGGGUUCUGGUUAGAUGAUUUAUUUAGAGAGUUAUGGCCCUUUGAAAUUUUUAAGUUGCUAAACCAUCCAUCGUAUUAUUUUGUCCAAAGUUAUGCCCCUCAAGACGUUUCCUUUUAUCUCCAUAUAUAGUGCAAUAUUGUGACAAAAAACCUUUGGGGAGCAUCACCCGUCUCCGACGGUUUCUUGUUUCUAUAGUUAGAAUAUUUCUUACAGAUAUUCCUUAAAGCAAACGGCGUAGACCCAGAUGAGACACCGCAUGAUACGUCUGUUCAGGUUUUAUGCUGUUUGCUGCUCAUCAGUAUCUAAGGGUUGGAAAUGAAGCCUUUGAAACUUGAAUCUUGUAAGAAAGGCCUUUAAUAACAAUCAAUUUCCUAAGGGACUUCAAAUAGGUCAAAAUAUGUAUCUUUGUGGAAAAGGGUUUAUAUACUUGAACAAUAUCAGUAAUAAUGGUGUAUUCAUUAAUCAAUGCAUCAUUAUUUGUUUAAAUCAUGUAAGGGUUCAGGAUUUUUAAGUGUAAAUAUUACAACAGAAAUCUUUGUGAAAGCAAGUCUAGAAUGACUUCUAUUCACAUUUCAUGUCUUCACCUUUUUGUAAUGUGUUCGUUGCUACUUUACUGUUUUAUAUGAGUGAAAUUCCGAUGAAAGGAGGACAAUUUGUUACAAUGAAGGAAGUGUAAAAUCAGGCUGAUUUCUUGUGAAACAUUCAUUUUUUAAUUGAAAUUGUGAAGAAAAAGCAAGAUCUACAUGUAUGUGUGUUUUACCUAAUAUACCGAUUAUUAUUUUUGCUGUAUUGAUAUCUUUUAAUAAAAAAAAUCAGUAUUUAAGAAAAUUUAUUUUUUAUCUCAUUCACUAUUGAAAUGACAUUUUUUCACGUUCUUGACAUGUAGUUUAAUAUAGUUUUGUAUAAAAAUAACGUUCUUUAAUAUCUAUUGUAUUAGAAUUAACGCCAGUUCUCAUGUGUUUUAAUAAUAAUUACAAUUUUGUUUUUGUAUAUCAUUAUUUUGAAUUGAUGAUUUAAGGAAAAUCGAAAAACCAUUAAUGUUAAUUCGUGUUUGUGUAUUUAUUUUCUUGUUAACAACUGUAUUUCAGUGUAUUAUCAUUAAAGAUGUUUCUUAUGAUUGUUA